UACGGAGGAUCCAAGCGUUAUCCGGAUUUAUUGGGUUUAAAGGGUGCGUAGGCGGCUUGUUAAGUCAGGGGUGAAAGACGGUAGCUCAACUAUCGCAGUGCCCUUGAUACUGAUGGGCUUGAAUACACUAGAGGUAGGCGGAAUGUGACAAGUAGCGGUGAAAUGCAUAGAUAUGUCACAGAACACCGAUUGCGAAGGCAGCUUACUAUGGUGUCAUUGACGCUGAGGCACGAAAGCGUGGGGAUCAAACAGG
rnacentral:rRNA from 1 species